rnacentral:rRNA from 1 species
UGGGGAAUAUUGCACAAUGGGCGAAAGCCUGAUGCAGCAACGCCGCGUGAGUGAUGAAGGUCUUCGGAUUGUAAAGCCCUGUCUUUUGGGACGAUAAUGACGGUACCAAAGGAGGAAGCCACGGCUAACUACGUGCCAGCAGCCGCGGUAAUACGUAGGUGGCGAGCGUUGUCCGGAUUUACUGGGCGUAAAGGGUGCGUAGGCGGAUGUUUAAGUGAGAUGUGAAAUACCCGGGCUUAACUUGGGUGCUGCAUUUCAAACUGGAUAUCUAGAGUGCAGGAGAGGAGAAUGGAAUUCCUAGUGUAGCGGUGAAAUGCGUAGAGAUUAGGAAGAACACCAGUGGCGAAGGCGAUUCUCUGGACUGUAACUGACGCUGAGGCACGAAAGCGUGGGUAGCAAACAGGAUUAGAUACCCUGGUAGUCCACGCCGUAAACGAUGAGUACUAGGUGUAGGAGGUAUCGACCCCUUCUGUGCCGCAGUAAACACAUUAAGUACUCCGCCUGGGAAGUACGAUCGCAAGAUUAAAAC